UUACCACUUUGUGAUUCAUGACUGGGGUGAAGUCGUAACAAGGUAACCGUAGGGGAACCUGCGGUUGGAUCACCUCCUUACC
rnacentral:rRNA from 1 species